CAAUAGCGUAUAUUAAUGUUGUUGCAGUUAAAAAGCUCGUAUUUGGACUUCUGGCGGGAGUGUCCGGUCCGCCCCUAACGGGGUGCGUUACUUGGACAUCUUUUGCCAUCCUUGGCGAGAGCGCGUUGGGCAUUAAGUUGUUCGUCGCGGGAUCGCCAUCAUUUACUGUGAAAAAAUUAGAGUGUUUAAAGCAGGCGUUUGCUGUGAAUACAUUAGCAUGGAAUAAUAAGAUAGGACUUUGGUGCUAUUUUGUUGGUUGAGCCUAAAGUAAUGAUUAAUAGGGAUAGUUGGGGGCACCUGUAUUGCGUUGUCAGAGGUGAAAUUCUUGGAUUUACGCAAGACAAACAGCUGCGAAAGCGUCUGCCAAGGAUGUUUUCAUUAA
rnacentral:rRNA from 1 species